UACGGGGGGAGCAAGCGUUGUUCGGAUUUACUGGGCGUAAAGGGCGCGUAGGCGGCCAGCACAAGUCAGUUGUGAAAUCUCCGGGCUUAACUCGGAAAGGUCAACUGAUACUGUGCGGCUAGAGUGCAGAAGGGGCAACUGGAAUUCUCGGUGUAGCGGAUGAAAUGCGUAGAUAUCGAGAGGAACACCUGCGGCGAAGGCGGGUUGCUGGGCUGACACUGACGCUGAUGACGCGAAAGCCAGGGGAGCGAACGGG
rnacentral:rRNA from 1 species